rnacentral:tRNA from 2 species
GCUAGCGUGGCUCAGAGGCAGAGCAGCUGAUUCGUAAUCAGCAGGUCGUGGGUUCGAAUCCCACCGCUAGCU